rnacentral:RNase_P_RNA from 1 species
GUAGUUGGGUAACUGAGCAAGAAAUUGUUAGGAAAGUCCAUGCUAGCACAGCCUGUGAUGGCUGUAGUGUUUGUGCCAGCUUAAUAAAUAAGGCUGGGCACUCGUUAGAGUGACGGCGGAAGAAGCCUAAGUCUUAGGAUAUGGUGUAUUCCAUAAAGUGCCACAGAAACGAUGCUUCUAGAAAUGGGAGAAUGAAACGUUGGUAAACCCCUCAAGCUAGAAACCCAAAUUAUGGUAGGGGAGUCUUAAAUGCUCAAUAAGAAGGCAUUUAAGGACGGUUACGUAGAUAAAUAGUUACCACCUGAAAAGGUACAGAACAUGGCUUAUAGAC